rnacentral:rRNA from 1 species
GUGUCAGCAGCCGCGGUAAGACGAACCGUGCGAACGUUAUUCGGAAUCACUGGGCUUAAAGGGCGCGUAGGCGGGAUCCCAAGUCUGCGGUGAAAGCCUCCAGCUUAACUGGAGAAGUGCCGUGGAUACUGGGAUUCUCGAGGAGGGUAGGGGCAUCUGGAACGUUGGGUGGAGCGGUGAAAUGCGUUGAUAUCCAACGGAACUCCGGUGGCGAAGGCGAGGUGCUGGACCCUUUCUGACGCUGAGGCGCGAAAGCCAGGGGAGCGAACGGGAUUAGAUACCCCGGUAGUCC